rnacentral:rRNA from 1 species
CAGUCGAGGGGUAUAGGUUUUCGGACCUAGAGACCGGCGCACGGGUGCGUAACGCGUAUGCAAUCUACCUUUUACAGAGGGAUAGCCCAGAGAAAUUUGGAUUAAUACCUCAUAGUAUUAUUGAAUGGCAUCAUUUAAUAAUUAAAGUCACAACGGUAAAAGAUGAGCAUGCGUCCCAUUAGCUAGUUGGUAAGGUAACGGCUUACCAAGGCAACGAUGGGUAGGGGUCCUGAGAGGGAGAUCCCCCACACUGGUACUGAGACACGGACCAGACUCCUACGGGAGGCAGCAGUGAGGAAUAUUGGUCAAUGGGCGCAAGCCUGAACCAGCCAUGCCGCGUGCAGGAUGAAGCAUCUAUGGUGUGUAAACUGCUUUUGUACGAGAAGAAACACUCCUACGUGUAGGAGCUUGACGGUAUCGUAAGAAUAAGGACCGGCUAACUCCGUGCCAACAGCCGCGGUAAUACGGAGGGUCCAAGCGUUAUCCGGAAUCAUUGGGUUUAAAGGGUCCGUAGGCGGUUUUGUAAGUCAGUGGUGAAAGCCCAUCGCUCAACGGUGGAACGGCCAUUGAUACUGCAAGACUUGAAUUAUUAGGAA